CUACGGGACGCACCAGUAGGGAAUAUUGGACAAUGGGCGAAAGCCUGAUCCAGCAACGCCGCGUGUGCGAUGACGGCCUUCGGGUUGUAAAGCACUUUUAGAGGAGAUGAGAAAGGACAGUAUCCUCAGAAUAAGCCUCGGCGAACUACGUGCCAGCAGCCGCGGUAAAACGUAGGAGGCAAGCGUUAUCCGGAUUUAUUGGGCGUAAAGCGCGUGCAGGCGGUCUAGCAAGUUGGAUGUGAAAGCUCCCGGCUUAACCGGGAGAGGUCGUUCAAUACUGUUAGACUAGAGAAUGGGAGGGGAGGUGGAAUUCUGGGUGUAGUGGUGAAAUGCGUAGAUAUCCAGAGGAACACCAGUGGCGAAAGCGGCCUCCUGGACCAUUUCUGACGCUAAGACGCGAAAGCUAGGGUAGCAAACGGGAUUAGAUACCCCCGUAGUC
rnacentral:rRNA from 1 species